AACGAACGCUGGCGGCAGGCCUAACACAUGCAAGUCGAGCGCCCCGCAAGGGGAGCGGCGGACGGGUGAGUAACGCGUGGGAACGUGCCCUUUGCUACGGAAUAGCCUCGGGAAACUGAGUGUAAUACCGUAUGUGCCCUUCGGGGGAAAGAUUUAUCGGCAAAGGAUCGGCCCGCGUUGGAUUAGGUAGUUGGUGGGGUAAUGGCCUACCAAGCCGACGAUCCAUAGCUGGUUUGAGAGGAUGAUCAGCCACACUGGGACUGAGACACGGCCCAGACUCCUACGGGAGGCAGCAGUGGGGAAUCUUAGACAAUGGGCGCAAGCCUGAUCUAGCCAUGCCGCGUGAGCGAUGAAGGCCUUAGGGUUGUAAAGCUCUUUCAGUGGGGAAGAUAAUGACUGUACCCACAGAAGAAGCCCCGGCUAACUCCGUGCCAGCCGCCGCAGUAA
rnacentral:rRNA from 1 species